AUAUUAAUAAAUUAUCUUUCAUUGCCUCAUCCUCCUGGUGUCCUGAUGACUGCACAGCCCUCACCCCAGCACCUGUAACACUGGAUUCAUUGAACUCACCUAUUGAAACAUCUGCAUCCAGAUUGGACUGUCAAGUUGUGCUCUUACUCAUCUCUGUCAACCCUGUCUACCAUAAUCCUAAGCACAUUAGAACCACUAACUUGUCCAAGAAUUAAGCAGGCAAUGCUGAGGAUGGUAAAGAAGCUGUGAGACUCAAGACUAAUCCCGUUUCCAGACCUGCUUUCCCUGAAUACCCAAAACUUCACCUGGGAGUAACCCACCAGCUAAUCGACAGAAACAUGCAUUAUGUUCCAAGAAAAACAGGGUCUCUUAAAUUGGAAGCACCACACCACUUCAUAUUUAGAAAACCUAACUGAGCCUCACAUUUGGGAUUGGUGGACACAACUGGCAGAGAUCUCUACACAAAUGAGGUGGUGCCACCUGUAUCCUUGAUGGGGCCUCCUUCAGGGAAAGGAUUCCUGUGGGCCAUGUCCUCUGACCUGGCCUGAUUCAGUGGAGAAGUGGAUUGAACAACAUAAGAAGACAUCAGAAAGGUAAGACCCCAAGGUUCUGAGUCCCAGUCAGGCCCACCUCCGGAAGAAGGGGAGACUGAU
rnacentral:lncRNA from 1 species